AUUUAGAGAGGUCAGAAGUGACCUUCAUCAGAUGACUGGGCACUGGAAACUUCACAUGAAAAGCAGUCGUAAUGUAACGGACAAAAGAUCAAGUCGAUAUUUAGCAACCAUAAGUGCGAGGAGAUGGAUCGUUUGGUUCUGGCUUAGAGGCACCUCUGCCAUGGUCAUUGCCCAUUACACAGGAGUCAGCUUAUCCACUGUGUACCGGUGGGUGCGCCGCUGGUACGAGGAAGGCACUGUGGAGGAUAGGCCUUAUCGACCAUGGCUCCGCAAGGCAAAACUUGACCAACAUAAUUAUUUAU